rnacentral:rRNA from 1 species
UACGUAGGGGCCAAGCGUUGUCCGGAAUUAUUGGGCGUAAAGAGCUCGUAGGCGGUUUGUCGCGUCUGCUGUGAAAACCCGAGGCUCAACCUCGGGCCUGCAGUGGGUACGGGCAGACUAGAGUGCGGUAGGGGAGAUUGGAAUUCCUGGUGUAGCGGUGGAAUGCGCAGAUAUCAGGAGGAACACCGAUGGCGAAGGCAGAUCUCUGGGCCGUAACUGACGCUGAGGAGCGAAAGCAUGGGGAGCGAACAGG